rnacentral:rRNA from 1 species
CCACCAGACUCCUACGGGAGGCAGCAGUGAGGAAUAUUGGUCAACGGUCGGGAGACUGAACCAGCCAAGCCGCGUGAGGGAUGAAGGUACAGAGUAUCGUAAACCUCUUUUGUCAGGGAACAAAGGCGGGGACGCGUCCCCGGAUGAGUGUACCUGAAGAAAAAGCAUCGGCUAACUCCGUGCCAGCAGCCGCGGUAAUACGGAGGAUGCGAGCGUUAUCCGGAUUUAUUGGGUUUAAAGGGAGCGUAGGCCGGUCUUUAAGCGUGCCGUGAAAUUUUGUGGCUCAACCAUGAGAGUGCGGCGCGAACUGGAGACCUUGAGUGCGCGGAAGGCAGGCGGAAUUCGUGGUGUAGCGGUGAAAUGCAUAGAUAUCACGCAGAACUCCGAUUGCGAAGGCAGCAUACCGGCGCGCAACUGACGCUCAUGCACGAAAGCGUGGGUAUCGAACAGGAUUAGAUACCCGGGUAAA